AAAUUUAAAUGUCUCCUUUUUCCAAAAUUUCCACUCAUUUUUGAUUAACUAAGACCUAAAUAACUGGGAUUUGUGAAUAUGCAUAUAUCUAAACCCCAAACGAUUUAUAACGUCCUUAUUCUGCUGGAAUUAAAACCACAAGACCAAGUCAAUGAGCAAGUUAACCCCUGCCCAGUAAAUGCCUUUGUUUAUAUCUUAUACAUUUGCCAUGCAACUCUUGUACUAACUUUAAACAAUAUAUUAUAGAUAUAAUCAAACAAUAUCUAAUUGUAACAAUAUAAUAAACUUUUUAUGUGUAAAUGAUUUUAUUGUUCAAAUAUCCUCUGUUUUACAAUAUGAAUAAAUAUCUGCUAAU
rnacentral:sRNA from 1 species